CUAAAGUCAGAAGGACUUUCCUCUGAAUCCAGUCCUAAAGCCUUAGGUGGUGCCUACAGUAUGGGAAGGAAGGGUUUUAAAGGAGUAGAAUCAAUUUGCAGUAUUUUUCUAUUACUGUUAGAUAAUGCACCAGAGUUUAUUUUUGGAGGCAAAGGUUAUGAGAUUGAUGGACUGGCCACAAUAAAGAACAAUCUCAUCUUGUGUCUUUAUAUAAAGGUAAGGAUUUUGGACUCUUUUGUCAUGCUCUUCCAGCUUCCCUCAUUCUCUCUCCCUUUCUCUCAGCUCUAGAGCUGCUGUGGACUUCGGGGUCACUAAAAGAGCAGCUAACCAUUUGACACAGUGUUUGGCUUCUCACCCCCACACAACAGACCCUCAUUACCAAACUGUUAAUCACUGCCAAAGGAGCAAGUCCCCUGACAGCUCUUAAGCCCCCAUCCCCCAAAGUAGAUCUUUCCACACUUGGUAUCAAAUUGCAUUGUGAUUACAGCAACGCUGGGACUGGGCAUUUUAAUCGUACAUUGGCAAUGGGGAGGUUUUUUUGUUUUUUUUGUUUUUUUCCCCUAGUUUGGAUUUAAAUGUUUCUUAAGCUAUUUAGUACAGGUUUGCACACCAGUGAAAAGUAUAGUGUUUGAAAUUUGUUCUCACAAACACAUAUACAUUGUACACAACACACCUGAAGCCGAG
rnacentral:lncRNA from 9 species